rnacentral:tRNA from 1 species
GCCGGGAUGGCGGAACGGGUAGACGCGCUCGACUCAAAAUCGAGUGGCCAUCGGCCAUGUGGGUUCGAAUCCCACUCCCGGCACCA